rnacentral:ncRNA from 2 species
GGGUGCUCAGUACGAGAGGAACCGCACCC